AGGAGAACUGGGGUGCGGGGUUCACCCGCAGCUACUUCGGACAGUGGAGAGGAGUGGGAAGGUGGCAAUGAAACGUGGAAGGUUUAAUGGAGAAAUCAUAUUUUGCGGGAAAUUCUCCACGUAGAGCCUUUAGGAACAUUAGCAUUAUGUGCCUUACAAAGCGGGAGGUUUUAACAAAAAGUGCUACACAGCGAGAACCAGCUGCCUUUAGAGGUCACUAGAACAUCACUGCAGUAUUUACAAAUUUUCCAUGAAGGAUUAGAAGUUACUCUAAAGCCCUAUAUACACUAUAUACAGUUCCAGUGGAUGCUGUAUACUAUUAUCUAAAUUUCUUCACAUAGACUAUCAUGUAUCUGCCCCAGCAAAGCUGAUUAGUGAAGCAGCUUGACUCUGACAUAUCCUUUAUGCCAGCCACAAGCUGCCUUGCACAGCCACCUUAUUCACUGUGGAGACAGGCCUGAAGCAAGAUUGUAACACAACAAAUGCAAAUGAGAUGAGCCUUACACCACUUAAACUGAGAUGGCUAUAAUAUGUAACAGCUUAAUGUGCCUACAGAAGUGAUUGAUGCCCCCUCCAUAUCUCUAAAGAGCUUCAGUUUUGAUGCACCCUGUUUUUAACUAAUAUUUCUUAUUACUCCUCUUUCUGGCAAUGUUUUUCUCUUUUUCUGAGUGCAGGGAAAGGAGGAAGGAAGCAAAAUGCCAAACAACUUAUCAAAGCUGGUUGUCUCUCUCAAGAUCCUGACUUAUGAAAACAAAAAUUUGAAGAAUCCCUUAAUCAGCUCUUAGCAGUUUGUUUAGAUUAUACCAGCAGAAGUUUGGUCCUUUGUAAAUCAGUUAUCCUUGAUAUUAAGCUGGAAAGAAGCAAGGAAAGAUAUUAACUGGAAAGAAGCAAUGUUUGCAACCUGACAAAUCGUUUGUCUCGGGGCAACACAGUCUGAGGGUCUCAUUGAGCUCUUGCCAUUAAUUCAAACAGACCGCAGCCCCACAGUCACUCUGCCUGAUCAGCAGAUAGCCAUGAAUUUUAGGAAAAUUUCAGAGAAAUAUCAAAACCGCUACUAACCUAGCUGGCUAUACAUUUCUAAUCAGAAUUCUUUCCCUGUCCUUAAAAUAAGUAGAAACCAGAUUUUUCCAUUUCUCCUAAAUCAAUCUUUCACUUUAUCUGUCAGUUGCUUUCUCCCAAUUAGUAUUCCAAAUUCAUUUAUUUUUGUCAUAAAUUAAAUUUUUUUGUGUACCUUGGCACGAGUUUUUCAUUCAAUACUUGUGAGUAAUGUGACAGACUUAACGUUGUGUUGCUUAGCAGUAAUAAUAAUAAUAAAAAAGAGUAACUUUGUUAAUGAAUUGAGAUGAAUCAAAAAUGCCUUAUUAAUUAUUGCUUGCCUAGUAGGCUAAGCUUUGGCUCUUCACCUCACUGGCCCAGAGAACAUUUCUUGCCUUUGGCCAUGUCGGAGGGGCUCAUUAAAACAUCUCUUGGGAGCAGAAAGAAAUUGUUAGUGAAAAGCAAUGGUCAGUGCCUCAGCUAGAACCCAGAAGGGAAGGGAAUCCCUCAUCACUGAGAGCUAACAAGGCUGUAUGUAUUACACCUGUAAUCAAACUGCUCCGAAAAUGCCAGGAGACCACUGAGCUCUCUUUGUGAUUGGUGAAGUUAUCUGAAAAUGCUGAAUCCAAUCCAUAAUUGAUGUGCACACAUACAAUUACAAGCCUCCAGAUAUCAGUUAAAAUGUUGCAGUUGCAAGCCUUAAGGAGUGGUAAACCUUAACAUGCAUGGCAUAAAAUAAGGUGUUUGACAUAAUAGAAGUGAACCUGUUUUGCUUCCAUGCACUGCCAGUUAAAUUUUAAUUGAAUUUGCUACAUUUGUUAACAGAUGUAAUUAUAGAAAACCUUACUGAAAAACAAUGAUAUAUGGAUGGGCUUGGGUAUCUUGUAGAUAGUUUGUGAAUCAGGGUUGGGGCAUCUUUUCACUUUCACAUUUUGUGAAUUAAUUUGUGUGUUUAAAUAAAGAUCUACAUCACUGCUUUGCCUAAGGUAAGUAAAAUUUGCUAUGACAUGCAAUGUGACCUUGGGAUAUUGAAGUUUGAGAAUUUUACAUGUCCUAAGGUGAAAACUGGUGCCUCUUGAAAACUUGCAUUUGUUUCUGGCCUCCCUGUGAUCUCCUAGAAUAGUCAGAAUUGCAAAUUGCUUUCAAGGCUUGGCUUCCAAGUAAGUCACCCUCUAGUAGAUGAGAUGCUGAAAUGUGAGAUGAAAGAUGGCUUAAAAUGAGUUCAACAGAUGAAUUUACAAGUCAAUGGCAUAAUAUUCUCCAAAAUAUUAUGUAGACUUACUACAGCUCAUCCAGUCAGCCUCAGAGUUAGUGUUUUCAUUUAAUUUUUAUAUUUGUUUCCUUCUUGGUUGUUAUAUGAGAAAGAAACUCUUCUGAUGUGAUGUAUAAGUGGAUAAGCUUAUAGAGAAGCUGAAGAUUCUAAUCACUCUGGGGAGAGAAUGACAGGACAGUGAGAAGACUGUGCAAUGAUAAAACGCGAAAAAGCAAGUGGAGAAGAGAUGAUGUAGAAUCACUCAACUACCCACCAUAAAUAUUUUUGAGUUUAAAAUGGGACAAUUACCAUGUGUUUAAAAUGGACAAUUAUCAUUGCUGCUUAAGAGGGCUUCCCUAUUUUGUGAAGUACUUUGAUGUAAAAAAUGAUAGAUAGAUAGAUAGAUAGAUAGAUAGAUAGAUAGAUAGAUAGAUAGACAGACAGACAGACUGACACCUGGAUCCAUUGGAAAUGGAUUACAACAUGAAGAACAUGGUCUACUGUUCUCUGUGUGGCGAUACUGUUUAUGCCAUGUCUGACUCAAGGGUGUUUGUCUAAACAAUUACAAAAAUAAACUAAAAUAUAUUGGCCAUUAAAGAACACAAAUCACAGAAUGCCUCUUUCCAGUGCAUCUGCCAGUGUUUGGAAAACUCUCUCUUAGCCAUGAUGUGGAGGCUUUCCACUGCCCAGCCUUAACUGCUUCAAGACAUGCUGCCCUAAGUCAGGUGGAUGGGCUGCCUCUAUAGACACUUGAAAGAGACAGCUAUGAAAAUUGUCCCUCCUGUCUUAGAGGGGCAGAUUUGUAUUUCAGAGGCAGUGGGAGUCCAGUUGAGACUGGAGAAGGCAAAAACUUAGGAGAGAUGAAUCUUGUCUAAAAUGUCUUUUUUUUAUUGUAGUUUUGGGGCUUUUUUUUUUUUUUUGCUGUUGUUUCAGUUUUUUGGGGUUUUGUUGUUAUUUUUUUGGUUUUUCAAAAUUUCAUUUGUAGUCUUACUAAAGCCCUCAUCAUUAAAAUGUUUUUCUAUCUGGAUUUUUGUUUUAGCAAGGCUUCAUUUUGCAUUGUCUUUUAAUUGCACCUUUUUAAGUACUGCAGUGAACUGGAAGGUGAGAGAGGAAAAAUUUCUGAUCAAAUACCAUCUCAAAGUGUUGGACUGAGAGGUGUAGACAGAGUUCAAACACCUACUGACAUUUAUUUGAAGGAACAUUUAAUUUUCAGUUUUAUUUUUAGAUGCAAGAUUGAAAAGGGAAAAAUUUACAAAACUGCAGACCCUGGAAAUUUUUAAAUAAACCCCUUUUUUCUUAUUAUUCCUAAACUAUAUGGAAGGUAGAUAAGACCGGAAUGAUUUUCAAACUGAUGCCACUCUGAAAUUUCAUUCCACCACCCAAAUUAGCAGCAUAAAGACCUACUUGUUGAGAGGAUUCAAUAUUUGACUAGAAACACUGUUUCAGUGGUAGAAAUCCUUUCUACUGGCUUCUGUAGAAACAGAAAACAAAAAACAAACAAAAAACAAAACAAAACAAAACAAAACAAAACAAAAAAAACCCACAAAACCUGCCAUCAUCCUUUAAAAGGAAAUGGUUUAAAGAACUUCACCAAGUUUGUGACAAGACGUGUGUGGCCUAAAUUGCAGCCCUGUCCUAUUACUAAGAGAAUAUAGAUACCAGGCCAAAUUCAUCCUCCAGAAGGCCCUGGCUAUAUUCAGAUCACAUGAGAUGUGAAUUUGACUUGUGGGCUGUGGGUAUGUAAAUGGAAAAUGCUAAAGAAAUGCAGAUUUUCCCCACCUUUGCCCUGUCUGCAUUUCAGGGCUGACAGUGGCUCAUCUGUGUAAUUCAGAACACCUCAAGGCUGCUGGAAGCUCCACUGGCUUGUAGCAUCCUCCAAGGGUACAUGCAGCUCUUGUACAUCCAGGUGUAACAACCCUUAUACACAUAAUGAUGUAUACAUGGUACAGUUUCCUAUCAAAACAAAUAGAGCACCAAAGUGACCAUUUAAACUGCAAGCAAAUGAUGCUUCCAGCCUGUGGUCCCUGCUCUGAAUACAAGCAGCUCUCUGUGUCUGAGACUUGACAAGUAACAUCAAACGUGGCCCAAGAACAAAGCUAACCAACCAUGGCCUGCAGCAUCCUUCAACCAGAAGUCAUCUUUAGUCAAGCUUUGCUACCUAAUUUGUAGUGUUUCUGUUUGUACUCUUCAAGCAGAAGUCCUAAAACUCUUGUGGUGUAAAGCCUUCCUGGUUUCUAUCUGAGGAUCAUCAUAAAUUAAGGGAGCAACAACUUUUAGAAUGUAGAAAGAGAUAGACUCUGCUCCCCUCUCCUGCUGAGGCCCCCAUGGCUCAUCAUGCAAACCUCUCAGGAAAGCUAAAAGCAGGAAGUACCAGGACUUCACUCAGCAGGAUACAUACAGUGAGCAGAUGCUCAUUGGGAUGCUCAGCAAGGUAUUGUUUGUACAUGAUAUUCAAGAGAUUGAAGAGGAAAACACAGUUUGGAGCCAACUGAAUCUAUUUCUAGUACUGCUGAGGAACCUUCAGAAAUUUUGGUAUUGAAAGAAUUAUAAGUUAUCAUUAAAAGUAAUGCACAAAAAACCCCCAAGAAAAAACAGUCUAGAGGAAAACAAGCCUUCCAAUGCUUUGUUGUAGAAGAGUGCACAACAUCAACAUAAAAUAAUGAAAGGUGUACACAUAAUUUAAAACUACUUAAGUAACAAUAUUUGAAAUAAUAAAAAAAAAAUUUCUAGUUCAGCAAUCUGUACCUGGUCUCUGAAGUCUCUUGCUGGAUACACAGUAGUCACAAAUAGUGAGUGUGUGCUAUAGUAAGAGACUCGGAGAGGAAAAUAGAGAGAAAUGGUUUCAGGCAUAUUUUUCUUUCUUUCUGUAUUAUGCAGUAGAAAAUUCUGAUAGACUGUCAAUAAUCUGAAAAUCUUUAAAUAAGAGGUGGUUAAUAAAUUAAAAAUUAAUAACUAAUCUAUUAAAAGGUAAAUACAUCUGUCAUUUGGUAAGCCAUUCUAUUUAAGUUCAAGUUUUCCUAAGAGUUCUAUAUAACUAUUCCACUGUUUAUUAUGUUUAGAAUGGUGAAAAGAUAUACAGUAGUUUUCAAUAUAUGUAUUUCUAAGGUACAGCAAGACAUCCUUCUCAGAAAGGGGUUACAGCAUAACAUAAAUCAACUUCAAACUCAUAAAAGCACUAACUUACACGUAUUUUAUUUCUAUAGCCACAUUUAUUAGUAUUAAAAUUUUACAGUACCAUAAUACCUCCACUGGCUCAUCUUAAAGUAUUAAAGUAAUAGGAACACUAUUAAUAAAUACAGAUCUUACAGCAAGUAUUUUCUAAAAAGUGUGACUUUGAACCCCCAGUAUUUUACAUUAAGAAUUUUAACUGCAGUUCCAUACUCAUUCCUAAGUCACAGACAAAAUUACAGCAAACAGGUAUUGCUUACUCACAUAACUUCAGUGUUGCUCAUGAAGACUAAAUAUUUUUACCAUUCUUCUGUCAGAAAGCCAUCCUUCAGCAAAACAGGAAAUCUGUAUGACAUUGGUUCUAUCCUUGCAAAUGGUUAUUCCAAAACAUACCCUUUCAUGUUCUGAAAAAGUAUUUUGGUCAUACAUUCUUUUCAGCAUGUUAUUUUAAGUGCAGAUUCAAAUUAAGAAGUUUUAUCAAUAUUUCAGGAAUUGGCUCUUCAGUAUUGCUAAUAAUCAAGUCUAUUGCCACAGAAAUAUCAGAUAUUAUUGGAACUUUAACAAAAAUAACUAAGUUUUUGGGGUUUCUCAAGUACGGACAUAAAAAUCUGGAAUUUGGCAGCUUUUUUUUGCUUCCCCUCUUUACUUUUUUCUGUCUUUUUUAUUUUGCUGUUAGCAAUUCUAGCUCAUUGAAUUACAUUCAUCUCUAUCAAACCUCCAUCAUGUCCUCUGUAGAACACUCCAGAUGUUCUCCUCCUUUAUGUAACAUGCACUUUUCCAGCUGUUCAUUAUUGGACUUCAUGACUUAAUUUUGAUAAUAACAGAUAAAGUAAAGGGCACUUCAGGGGGGAUGUUUGAUAUUAAACUACAGCAGUCAUCAACUUAAUAUGC